GAUGAAGAAUGUAGCGAAAUGCGAUAAGUAAUGUGAAUUGCAGAAUUCAGUGAAUCAUCGAAUCUUUGAACGCACAUUGCGCCCGCCAGUAUUCUGGCGGGCAUGCCUGUUCGAGCGUCAUUUCAACCAUCAAGCCCCGGGCUUGUGUUGGGGACCUGCGGCUGCCGCAGGCCCUGAAAUGCAGUGGCGGGCUCGCUGUCACUCCGAGCGUAGUAGUUACAUCUCGCUCUGGGCGUGCUGCGGGUUCCGGCCGUUAAAAGCCUUAUUUACCCAAGGUUGACCUCGGAUCAGGUAGGAAGACCCGCUGAACUUAAGCAUAUCAAUAAGCGGAGGA
rnacentral:misc_RNA from 1 species